CGAGUGGCGGACGGGUGAGGAAUACAUCGGAAUCUACUCUGUCGUGGGGGAUAACGUAGGGAAACUUACGCUAAUACCGCAUACGACCUACGGGUGAAAGCGGGGGAUCUUCGGACCUUGCGCGAUUGAAUGAGCCGAUGUCGGAUUAGCUAGUUGGCGGGGUAAAGGCCCACCAAGGCGACGAUCCGUAGCUGGUCUGGGAGGAUGAUCAGCCACACUGGAACUGAGACACGGUCCAGACUCCUACGGGAGGCAGCAGCC
rnacentral:rRNA from 1 species